UCGAUCCUCGUCCCAGCCUCCUUCCUGCCUUUGAUGUUUUAGAACGCACAUAGGCUAGAAGGAGGUUGGGGAUGGGGAACGAU
rnacentral:pre_miRNA from 1 species